rnacentral:lncRNA from 1 species
UGAUAUAGAGACAUUUUAUAUAGAUAGGUUGCAUUUAUAAAAUUAUAUUUUAAUUUAAUAAUACUAAUUAUAAAAAGUUAGGAUUAAUAUAUGUAAUAUUUAUAGAUCUAAUUAUAAAAAGUUAGAAUUAAUAUAUAUAAUAUUUAUAGACCGAAUUAUAAAAAGUUAUGAUUAAUAUAUGUAAUAUUUAUAGACUGGAUGUAGGCAAAGUUUUUCUAUAAAUGAGGAGUGGGUAGGGAAAAAAUCAUUCGAUACGUCGGGUCUAUACUUGUAUUUAACAUCUGCUGGAACCUAAGGCCUAUAAUAUUUAAUACAUAAACUUAUUAUAAAAUAUAAAUUAUAUUUAUUAAAUUAUAUUUAAUUUUAAAUUGAAAAAAUAGAUUUGAU